rnacentral:rRNA from 1 species
GAAGAAAUGAUUAUUAAAAUUUAUGUAUUGCUAAAUAUAUAGAAAUUUAUAUUAAUUUAAAAAAAGUAAUUUUUGGUUGGUUUAGUGUGUAUGAUUUAAUUGGUUAUAAUUAUAGUGUAUUAGUAUUGUGAAAGAAAUCUCAUAUUUGUUGGAAAGAAAAAUUAAAUUUUUGUACCUUGUGUAUCAGGGUUUAUCAAAUAAAAAUUUUAUAUUAAAUUUUCUCGAAUUUAAAAGAGCUAUAUGUAUAUUUUUUUUAUUGUGGCAUAAAUAUUAUUAAUAUACUUAUAGAAGUGAAAUGCUAUACGAUUUUAAAUAUAUCUAGUUUUUUAAGAAAAAAAUUCAAUUUUAGGUUUAUUUUUAUUAUAAAAUUUAGUUAUUAAUUUUAUAAUAGUAAAGGCAUAUAUUUUUAGGGAUGAGCUUGAAAAUAGAUUUAUAUAAUUUAAAUUAUAAAAAAUUUUUUAAUAAGUAGAAUUAAAAGUUUUUAUCUUUAAUAGUGUUUUACUACUAAUUAAAUGUUUACAUAAAAUUUAUAUUUUAGAUUUAUAUUUUUUAUUAAAAUUUAGACUUUAAUAAUAAAAGUUUAGUAAUAAUGAUAAAAUUAGUAUAAUGAUAUUGUUUAAUUUAUAUAGAAAUUUUAGGUUAAGUAAAGGAAUUCGGCAAAAAGAUUUUCCACCUGUUUAUUAAAAACAUGGCCUUUUGAUUAUAAUUUAAGGUCGGACCUGCUCUAUGACUUAAGUGUUAAAUGGCUGCGGUAUUUUAACCGUACAAAGGUAGCAUAAUCAUUAGCUUUUUAAUUGAGAGAUGGAAUGAAGGGUUUAAUGAGAAAAUAACUGUCUCUGUUUAAAUUAAUUAGAAUUUUAUUUUUAAGUAAAAAAGCUUAAAUACAUUUAGAAGACGAGAAGACCCUAUAGAGUUUUAUAGUUUUGAUUAUACUAAGAUUUUAGUAUUGUAAGAUUUUUGUAAUUAAAACUAUUUAGUUGGGGUGAUUGAAAAAUUGAGUAAACUUUUUUUAAUUGAAACAUUAAUUUAUGAGUGAAUGACCCUUUAUUUAGGAUUAAAAGAUAAAAUUACCUUAGGGAUAACAGCGUAAUUCUUUUUUUAAGUUCGUAUUUUAAAAAGAGAUUGCGACCUCGAUGUUGGAUUAAAAUUUAUUUUUGGCGCAGCAGCUAAAAAAAUAGGUCUGUUCGACCUUUGAAAUUUUACAUGAUCUGAGUUUAAACCGGUGUGAGCCAGGUUGGUUUCUAUCUCUAAACAAUUAGAAUGCUUUAGUACGAAAGGACCGAGUAUUUAGUUUAUAUAACUUUAAUAUUAGAAUACUACUAA